GGCGGUUCUCGGGUGACGCACCCCAGAAUCGGGCUCCCCCCUCUCUGGUUCCCAGAGUGUCACCCGAGAACCACU
rfam:Myotis brandtii contig164874, whole genome shotgun sequence.